CCUGGUUGAUCCUGCCAGUAGUAUAUGCUUGUCUCAAAGAUUAAGCCAUGCAUGUCUCAGUGCAAGCCACAUUAAGGUGAAACCGCGAAUGGCUCAUUACAUCAGUUAUGGUUCCUUAGAUCGUACCCCCAUUACUUGGAUAACUGUGGUAAUUCUAAAGCUAAUACAUGCAAAUAGAGUUCCGACCAGAGAUGGAAGGAAUGCUUUUAUUAGAUCAAAACCAAUCGGUGGCGGCUUGCCUUGCCACCGUUUGACUUGGUGACUCUGAAUAACUUUGUGCUGAUCGCACGGUCUAGUACCGGCGACGCAUCUUUCAAAUGUCUGCCUUAUCAACUGUCGAUGGUAGUUCUGCGACUACCAUGGUUGUUACGGGUAACGGGAAUCAGGGUUCGAUUCCGGAGAGGGAGCCUGAGAAACGGCUACCACAUCCAAGGAAGGCAGCAAGCGCGCAAAUUACCCACUCCCGGCACGGGGAGGUAGUGACGAAAAAUAACGAUACGGGACUCAUCCGAGGCCCCGUAAUCGGAAUGAGUACACUUUAAAUCCUUUAACGAGGACCUAUUAGAGGGCCAGUCUGGUGCCAGCAGCCGCGAUAAUUCCAGCUCUAAUAGCGUAUAUUAAAGUUGUUGCGGUUAAAAGCUCGUAGUUGAAUCUGUGUCCCACACUGUCGGUUCACCGCUCGCGGUGUUCAACAGACAUGUCUGUGGAACGUCCUACCGGUGGGCUUAGCCCGUAAAAAGGCGGCCCAACUCAAAAUCCUACAAGGGUGUUCUUCACCGAGUGUCGAGGUGGGCCGGUACGUUUUACUUUGAACAAAUUAGAGUGCUUAAAGAGGCUCAUUCGCCUUAUAUUGUGAGAUUGGAUGUGAAUGGAAUAAUGGAAUAGGAGCCUACACUCGUUUCUAUUUUGUUUUGUUUUCGGAAUUCCGAGGUACAUGAUUAAUAGGGACAACUGGGGGCAUUCGUAUUGCGGACGUUUAGGUGAAAAUUCUUGGAUCGUCGCAAGACGGACAGAAGCGAAAGCAUUUGCCAAUGUGUUUCAUCAAUCAAGAACAAAAGUUAGAGGUUCGAAGGCGAUCAGAUACCGCCCUAGUUCUAACAAUAAAACGAUGCCAGCUAGCGAUCCGCCGAAGUUCCUCCGAUGACUCGGCGGGCAGCUUCCGGGAAACCAAAGCUUUUGGGUUCCGGGGGAAGUAUGGUUGCAAAGCUGAAACUUAAAGGAAUUGACGGAAGGGCACUACAGGAGUGGAGCCUGCGGCUUAAUUUGACUCACCACGAAACCUCACCAGGUCCAGACACCGGAAGGAUUGACAGAUUGAGAGCUCUUUCUUGAUUCGGUGGGUUGUGGUGCAUGGCCGUUCUUAGUUGGUGGAGUGAUUUGUCUGGUUAAUUCUGAUAACGAACGAGACUCUAGCCUGCUAAAUAGACGUACUUUCUGGUAUCGCAAAGACCCUCCGCUUCGGCUUCGGUCGUUGUUGGUUGUGGUUCUUAC
rnacentral:rRNA from 1 species